CUUGCAUUCCAGAAUGCCAUCUUCUAUCUUCGGUCAUUUGCCGACAAGGGCGGUGCUCAGCUCUAUGUUACAGCAGGCAGGUGGCUCACUGAAAGCUUUAAUCUCAUCAGCCAUCUUACCUUCUUCUUGGAAAAAGAUGCUGUCAUCCUUGGAACUCAGGUCUUCUACCACUCUCAAUGGGCUGUGUUUUUACUCAUUUGGAUAUUCUUUCACAUUGCAUUAUAAUAUAGCCCAAUCAGUGGGUUUUUACAUCAUUGACCUUUGUUUUUUAUUCUUUUCUUGUUUGAAGAGCAAUGUGUACUAUUUUAGCAUGUUCUUCAUUUGGUCUGCUAGCCCCUGUUAUGAAUGGAACUGAAAACCGAAGAUGGGUUUGUAUAAUCUUCCAAUUGGGGUGAGUUUUGGGGCAUUGACUGUCCAUGGUGGGAUGCAGUGCGCAUAGUAUUGAUUACUGACCAUAGGCCUAUUUGUAAGAACUGAAAACCUGGGUAAUCUUGUGGAAACCCUUGGUUUAUAAUUCUUCUUGCUUGAUAUUAUAUGCAUCUCUAGUCAUUUGCCUUUUGGCGUGUGUUUAUUAAUAUAUUUUUGUUACCUUUCAAAAAAAAAAGAUACAAUAUGCGUCUCGGAGAUAGAUUUUGAUCUGAAGUAUGGUUUUGAUUAGAUGAUUUUUUGGUGUCAUACCUGACUAAAAUUGUAUGUGUGUCGGACACACAUGAGUCUACUGGUUUUUUUUUUUUUUUUUCCAGUUUAUGUUUUCUAUUCUAGUAGAAUUACCAGCAAUCAUGAGACUUUGCUUGUGUGGAUAUGAAAGAGCCUGUUUCUUUCCAUUCCAGUAUGCAAAAGAGUUCCAUAUUGUGAAUUUUUGAAUUCUACUGGAGUAUAAAUUAAAAAUUCACAAAUUAUUUACAUAAAAAAAAAAUAAAAAAUCACAGAUUAUUGUUCCUGUUUGUGAGAUGGCCUUGAGCCAAACACAGCCUAAGGAUACAUUUAAAUCUAACUGAAUUGCAAAAGUUCGAUUCAGUAUAAAAGAAUUAAGUGAGGGGUGGCACCAUUCACCAAACUCUUAUUUCAAUUCCAUAUGCUUUAUGGCAGGCCUGAGAUGAUCAUCAUUUCGAUCUAGUCCCUUGUUAUGAGUGGAGCAGGGUUUGACCCCAAUCCGAUCAUUUCCAAUUUAUGAGUCAUUUGGCUCCCCGGAAUCCUAAAAGGAGUCUUGAAUCUGUUUCCAGGAGCAAAUUCCCAUUGAAAGAGAUUCUGUUUAUGGUGUUUGGAUAGUGGGAAAGCUAUUUCUUAUGAAUGUGGUUUUUGUGAUUGGAUAUUAGGAAAGAGUAGUUCGGAGAGGAGAGGAGUGGCCUUUUCGUCAUUGUAAAAAAUGACAGUUGGAUGGGAAUCCAUUUACCAAAGUUUUUGCAACCCAUCUUAAAGAUGGGAAAUUUUGGGAAUUAGAUUCUCAUGGGAAUUCAUUUCCCACCCUUUCCCUAGUAAAUCCGUCUCCCAAGGGCUAGAUUCCAAUUGGCCAAAAUCCCUUAAGGAAUUGAAUCAUUGCAGUUCAGUUUACCAUCCCAAAGCUGCCCGAGGACUUGUUUUGAAAAACCUCUAUUCUGCAAGCUUUUCUGUAUAGAAUGCAAUUUUUUCUUCAUUUUGGAGGGAAAACAUGUUUCUGUAAACUGUCAACAUUUGAAAUUACAUCUUAAGAGUGUUUUGGCAACCCUUAAGCAAAAUCUUUUUGAGUUCCCCAUUCUGUUUUAAUUGGACACGCAUACAAUUGUUGUUAUUAGCACUCAAAACCUUGAAUGCGGAUGUGUUUUGUGACCAAAAUCCAAAAGACUGCCACAUCAGAACACCGCUCUUGUCAAUCUACAAAGUUUGGCCCCUUUGUUCAUUUCUGACUUGUUUCACUUCUUUUAGGGUUGUGACAUCUUCAUCGCAUUAUACGUAGAUUUGGACCUCUUCUGGCUGCCCUGGUUUCUAUUUUCUAUAUUAUGCUGCUUGUCAAUUGAGAAAUAAAGCGGGAGCUAUUUAAACUACAUUAUCGACUGGAGGAGUUGGUGUUGUUUUUAACUUCACAUAUUUGGUUUUAUUGUAGAUGGAUGAGUUUUAUUUGUUAGGGACAUUGCGUUGUUGGUGAUAUUUCCCAUGAUUGUCCUCCACAUGGAUUCUAAGGGACUUGUGAGUUGCCUGAGGUGUUUGAUAGCUUAGAAAAGUUGGAAGUUAAAAAUGGAAAUACAUCGUGAAGAUUGGGUAACGGAUCUCAAAGAGGAUUCUGAUGCUCACAUGGGCUUGUGAGUUUUUCUUUUCAUAUCUUUUUUUUUUUCCCCCUGAUUGAGUUGCUUUUCAUAUCUUCCUAUUGAUCCUUGAAAAUCAAAUCAAUAAUCGAGCUUCCUGUUUUGUGUUGUGUUGAUGAGAUAUAGAUAAAUAAUCAACAGGUUCAAGUGUUGGAGGCAAAAGGGACAUUCUUCUUCUUGAUGUGUGCAUUUUCCAGCAAUUUCUUCAUAGACCUGUUUGGGAACUUGGAGUAUAAGGGGCUAUUUGGAUGCCUGUAAAUGGUUUAAGUUGUAAAUGAUUUACAGGUGCCUGUUGUGUAUGGCUUUAAGAUGGUUGGUAUUAAGUGUAAUUUACAGCUGUGUACUAACAUUCUAACCAAUAAAAAAAAUUAAUUUAAAAGAAAAAGGUCAAAUUAGAGCAUUUACAUAGAAGGGCACACUUGAUGGACAUCCUUAGAUCACCCAGCAUGUGCCACUUUGACACAGACAUGGUGUAAAUGGGCUCCCCUGCAUGCUUGUGACUUCGGAAGCAAUAUUCCAUUGCUAGACUAAACAAUCAAUAUUUAAUAUUACUAUUGCACUGAUUUUUUACAACAACACAUGCUCUAGGCCCCAAUUAAAUAGAAAAUUAGAGGCGUCCCACUAUUUAGAUGUAUUCACCCAAGAUUAAGGCCAUUUACAAUUGUCAGAUGGGCCAUAGUUUACAAAAUAAAUAUAUGGCUUGACUGAUUUUAUUUUAUUUUUGGUAGCCAUUCAAAUGUUUCUGACAAUGUGGCCCACCUGCUGAAUGGAGCAGAUCUAUUUUUGGGACAGAAAAUAGAGACAUGCUCAUGACCACCUUAUGGAUAGCUUGGAUAUUGCACCUAUCAGCCAUGCACGCAUGUUUGGUGGCAUGUGCAUUAGCAUUUUAUACAUGCGUGUGUUCUUAGAAAAGCUCUCGAGUCCAACUUGUAAUGUGUGGGAUUGCAAAUUAGAGUUUGAUUUUCAUUGUAAGAUGAAAUGGCACCCUCCACUUCCACAUUUCCUCUUCAAGUAAUCGCAGAAAUCUCAAUUCAGUUCAAUUGAUCAUCCAAACAUGAAUCUGCAAAUUGCUCCGUUUUGUUUCGUUAGAUGAAUUUGUCCAUUUUGGUUAAUGUGCUUCCUCCACAAUGUUGCGUAGGUUUUCAGGAAGGGUAUUGGCAAAUGGGCACCAUAUCUGGUUACGUUACGCUCUGUAUGCCGAUAGCAAGGUUUUCACAUGCUCGCUUCUAGCAAAGAGCGCAUCUAUUCAGGUAUACUCUUCUUCUUACUUCUUUUCGUAAAUUGUUACUGAAGAUAUAUGGAAAACCUUUAGUUAGUAUUUAGAAAACUAAGAGACCGUUCAGUGGGAUUUUUUUCCUCAGGUUAGUCAAAAGGUGAAUGGAGUGGCUUCUGUAGAUUAUGACCAUAUAUAACAAAAUAAUUUAUCCUGUAUUUAGGAUUAUUAUUAUU